rnacentral:rRNA from 1 species
UACGAACUGUGCGAACGUUAUUCGGAAUCACUGGGCUUACAGGGUGCGUAGGCGGCUCAACAAGUCAGGUGUGAAAGCCCCCCGGCUCAACCGGGGAACUGCGCUUGAAACUGUUAGGCUCGAGUCAGCUAGAGGUACACGGAACUUCCAGUGGAGCGGUGAAAUGUGUUGAUAUUGGAAGGAACACCGGAGGCGAAAGCGGUGUACUGGGGCUGGUCUGACGCUGAGGCACGAAAGCCAGGGGAGCGAACGGG